rnacentral:lncRNA from 1 species
GUGAGAGUGGGCCCGCAGGUGCGGUGGGCGCUGCCCUAAUCCAAGGUUCGGAGCGCUGGAGGGGCGCCCUUACAUCGUGGGCAGAAUUGGGUUUCCGCAGCCAGCAGGGCCCUGGAGGCGGAUCCUGGGAGAAGGAGCCGGACGGCGGCCAGGGGUCCUCUUCCUCCUCGACUCCUGCUUUGGAGUUGGUGGCCAAGCAGUAGCGCUUGAUCUGCUCGGGGUACAUCCAGCGGGGGGGAAUACUUGCGGGUUGAAGCGGCCCGAGGUGAUAUCACAGGUCUCAAGGAGGUCGGGCAGGGACUUCUGCUUCUAUGAGUUUCAAAUUGGGACCGCGUGCUCCCCGGCUCCUGCCAUGGGGUCAUGAAUUAGGACCGAGAGGGAACAGAAAAAAACAGAAUUUCUCCCAGCCAUCCGGCAGCCGAAGCAGCCUUUAGGAGGGCACCGUCUCCUUGAGCUACGUCGGUUUCCAAAGGUAACAGACGCUACUUCUCUUAGGCUACGGAAUAACAG